GGACAGGUGGGUGAGUGGCUGAAACCACGUCCCUGCUAAGGACGGAUAUUCGGAAACGGGUAUCGAGGGUUCGAAUCCCUCCCUGUCCGCCA
rnacentral:tRNA from 1 species